rnacentral:tRNA from 1 species
AAAAUCUUAAUUUAAACAAAAUUUUAAAUUGUCAAUUUAAAUAUAAACUCACAUUUAGAUUUUA